AGAUGGUACAGUCUAGAGUCAUGUGAUGUUGUCAGCCGGGAUUGAAUCUGAGAGGCUGCCUCUGAUGUGACUGCUAAGGCUAAGUGCUCUCUCUGGAAAAGUUUAAUCCCAGUUUGCUGCUCGAGAAAACAUCCCAGCCAGAAUGUCUUACGGAUCCAUCGAUGCGGGUUCUUUCGGAAGCAGAAAUCCUUUCGGUGGGCCCACAAGGCAGGGCUACCAGCCAGUAGCAACACAAGUUAGCCCUUCAGAGCUGCAAGAUGUGUUCCAGGAAACCUCCUCUAAUAUCUUUCAGAUCAACGCCAACGUCGUAACCCUAGAGAAGAACCUUCAGACUUUGGGAACAUCAAGAGACACAGCAGAGCUGCGACAGAGUUUACAUUCCACACAGCAGCAGACCAAUAAAGUCAUAACAAGCACAAGUCAACUUGUCAAGCAACUCAGUGACAUCAUCAGCGGAUCCUCACGGCAAGACAGGCUCCGUUUGACGAGACUCAAGACCGAGCUGUCAGAUUCUGUGCAGCGAUAUGGAGACCUGCAGAAGAAAAUUGCAGAUCGUUCAAGAGCCUUGCUUCCUCCAGCACAAAAGGACAGGAAGCAGAGCGUACAGACUCCUUUCAGUGAACUAGUUGAAGAGGGGCCGUUGUUUGGAGGAGGGGAAAACGUGGAGAGUGAUGGCCAGGCGUUCCUGGCGGAGAUCAAUGAGGAAGACAUGGAGAUCCUGAGGCAGAGAGAAGAAGCGCUGCUUCAGAUUGAGAGAGACAUGCUGGACGUUAAUCAGAUUAUGAAGGACUUGGCCAGCAUGGUGCAUGAACAAGGAGACGCCAUAGACAGUAUUGAAGACUACAUUCAGACCACCUCGUCGCAUGUGGAAACGGCCAAUCAGGAGCUUGCGAAAGCCAGUCAUUAUCAGAGGCAGCUGAGGAAGAGGAAAUGUUAUCUGCUCAUCGCUGGAGCUCUGCUUCUUACUCUGCUUAUCAUCAUUAUUGCAGUCUCAGCCAGAAAAUGAGAGCAAGCGCACAGAUUCGCUUUGUAAACUGAGCAGAAUUAUCUGAAGGUGACAAACAGCAUUACAGCUAUUGCCAUUGAAACAACACAAGAGAUCUGUGUUCCCACCCGCUGUGACCUCUUUCCAUCUUCCCGUCGAAAAGGGAGUCCACACUAAGAGGUGUCCACCUGCACUCUCCUCCUGUCUUCUCUUUUCUCUCUGUACUUCUGUUCGAGCGGGUGCUUUAUUUGUGUAUGCGUGUGUGAACGUUGGGUAAAACAGUCUAUUUUUAUCAGUGCUUUGUUCUGUAAUGUGCAAUGAAUUGCUCCUUACCUCUUCAACGUGGGCUCCAAAGCAAAGAACAAACUCCAAGACUUGAUGUUGCUCUGGGAUUUUAUGCCAACAUUAAAACCAGUUUCCUUCAUUUUGGCCAGUUUGCAUAUCAGCUCAUGUCGAUCUUUUGCCACUUAUUCACACUGUGCUCAAGAUACAUAUUUUUCUAGGGCGCAAAUUAUCUGUGACAAAACGAUGUAACGCUGCCACACUCGUUUCCCCAACAUUCUUUGAAUGCAGUUUGUUAUAGAAAACAUAAAGGGUUGACUUUUAUUUUCAAUAUUGUGACCUGCUGUAUUUGUUUACCAAAAGCUGAUAUUGAAUGCAGCAGGAAGCCCAAUGUUGUUACAAAACUCCUGCUAGGAAAAAGAAGACAAUUGUUUUUAUUUGCAUAACCAUAAAAGCAUAAAUAUAAAAGCUUAUUCGAAAAGGUUCUGCAUCGUCUUGUAUUGAUUGUAUUGCUCUAAUUGUCCUUCGUUUAUGGCUUUAUUUUUUAAAAUUGUUUCUGUGCUGGCUUUGAAUAAACAAUACGUA